AGCUCAUGCCAGUUAACGCCAGGAGGUGAAGGAGUUGCAGAUCCUUGAUCCUAGACUCUAGCACCUUGCCUGCUAGAUCCAGCUGCUGGGGCUCCCUCCGCCUGGUGCCUGCUGGCACCCGGAAGCAACCAUGAACAUCGUCUUCAUCCUUGUGAGCAGUGUUGCCAUCACUCUUGUUCUUUCAUUAUUAAAGAUACUGCACCAGGCUCUUCUUGACCAAAAACGUUUGAUGUAAGUUCAAGUAGUGUGGCAAAACUGUGAGAUUUGUCUGAAAUCUCAGCAUUCAAAGGAUGGAGGCAGGAGGAUCAGGAGUUCAAGGUGAUGCUCAGCUACAUACUGAUUCCAAGGCCAUUCUGAAAUACAGAAGACGCUCCCUCCAAAAAGAUGAAGGGGAAAAAGAAGAAUGUUUUUGCAGAAGAGGCCCCUUCAAUGACAGAGAAGAGUCUUACUCCAUUGCAAAAGAUUAAUUCAAAGGAAUGGUUGCAUAUUAUUUUUCUCUGUGUCUUCAACUGAUGCUAUUAUCCUAGAAAACAUUCUACAAUGAACAUCACAUCAUUCAAACUGCU